rnacentral:rRNA from 1 species
ACGGGUGAGUAACGCGUGGGAAUAUGCCCUUCUCUGCGGAAUAGCCACUGGAAACGGUGAGUAAUACCGCAUACGCCCUUCGGGGGAAAGAUUUAUCGGAGAAGGAUUAGCCCGCGUUAGAUUAGGUAGUUGGUGGGGUAAUGGCCUACCAAGCCUACGAUCUAUAGCUGGUUUUAGAGGAUGAUCAGCCACACUGGGACUGAGACACGGCCCAGACUCCUACGGGAGGCAGCAGUGAGGAAUCUUAGACAAUGGGCGCAAGCCUGAUCUAGCCAUGCCGCGUGUGUGAUGAAGGCCUUAGGGUCGUAAAGCACUUUCGCCAGAGAUGAUAAUGACAGUAUCUGGUAAAGAAACCCCGGCUAACUCCGUGCCAGCAGCCGCGGUAAUACGGAGGGGGUUAGCGUUGUUCGGAAUUACUGGGCGUAAAGCGCACGUAGGCGGAUCAGAAAGUUGGGGGUGAAAUCCCGGGGCUCAACCCCGGAACUGCCUCCAAAACUCCUGGUCUUGAGUUCGAGAGAGGUGAGUGGAAUUCCGAGUGUAGAGGUGAAAUUCGUAGAUAUUCGGAGGAACACCAGUGGCGAAGGCGGCUCACUGGCUCGAUACUGACGCUGAGGUGCGAAAGUGUGGGGAGCAAACAGGAUUAGAUACCC